rnacentral:rRNA from 1 species
AUUGAACGCUGGCGGCAGGCCUAACACAUGCAAGUCGAGCGGAGCGGCGGACGGGUGAGUAAUGCCUAGGCAUCUGCCUGGUAGUGUGGGAUAUCGUCCGGAAACGGGCGCUAAUACCGCAUACUCUCAUAUGAUCCUCGUUCGGAUUCUCUUGUUUGUGGGGUACAGUCCUACCAAGGCGACGAUCCGUAACUGGUCUGAGAGGAUGAUCAGUCAAACUGGAACUGAGACACGGUCCAGACUCCUACGGGAGGCAGCAGUGGGGAAUAUUGGACAAUUGGCGAAAGCCUGAUCCAGCCAUGCCGCGUGUGUGAAGAAGGUCUUCGGAUUGUAAAGCACUUUAAGUUGGGAGGCGUGACCAACAGAAUACGCACCGGCUAACUUCGUGCCAGCAGCCGCGGUAAGAG